rnacentral:rRNA from 1 species
GCUCAGGAUGAACGCUAGCUACAGGCUUAACACAUGCAAGUCGAGGGGUAGCAGGGUAGCAAUACCGCUGACGACCGGCGCACGGGUGAGUAACACGUAUCCAACCUUCCCAUAACUCGGGGAUAGCCUUUCGAAAGAAAGAUUAAUACCCGAUAGUACUUAAGAAAGGCAUCUUUUUUAAGUUAAAGAUUUAUUGGUUAUGGAUGGGGAUGCGUUCCAUUAGAUAGUUGGUGAGGUAACGGCUCACCAAGUCUUCGAUGGAUAGGGGUUCUGAGAGGAAGGUCCCCCACAUUGGUACUGAGACACGGACCAAACUCCUACGGGAGGCAGCAGUGAGGAAUA